GAUGAACGCUGGCGGCGUGCCUAAUACAUGCAAGUCGAGCGAACAGACGAGGAGCUUGCUCCUCUGACGUUAGCGGCGGACGGGUGAGUAACACGUGGAUAACCUACCUAUAAGACUGGGAUAACUUCGGGAAACCGGAGCUAAUACCGGAUAAUAUAUUGAACCGCAUGGUUCAAUAGUGAAAGACGGUUUUGCUGUCACUUAUAGAUGGAUCCGCGCCGCAUUAGCUAGUUGGUAAGGUAACGGCUUACCAAGGCAACGAUGCGUAGCCGACCUGAGAGGGUGAUCGGCCACACUGGAACUGAGACACGGUCCAGACUCCUACGGAAGGCAGCAGUAGGGAAUCUUCCGCAAUGGGCGAAAGCCUGACGGAGCAACGCCGCGUGAGUGAUGAAGGUCUUCGGAUCGUAAAACUCUGUUAUUAGGAAAGAACAAAUGUGUAAGUAACUAUGCACGUCUUGACGGUACCUAAUCAGAAAGCCACGGCUAACUACGU
rnacentral:rRNA from 1 species